CUGACCCCACGCCCCAGGUGCAGCAGAUUGAACCCAGAGCCGACCCCCAGCUGCCCUUGGGCUCAAGGGCGCGGAUCCUGGGACCCAGGCCUCAGAGCAGCCCCGGUCACGACCCUGCGCACGAUGCCCCCCGGGGAGCCAAGAACCUUCUCGGACAGAUCUCAGCCCCCCUGCUCCAGCCUCCGCCCCCAGGAGGUCUUGGGAGAGGAGCCAGUCCCCGAGGGGCGACAGCAGGAUUCCCCUUGGCAUCCUCGUGGGCCGCUUCCCAGGUGAAGCCCAGCGUGAAGGAGGUGGAGCCCUCCUUGACCUCGCAGGCCGCAGCCCAGGUAGCCAUCCAAGCCUUGAUCCGGAGUG